rnacentral:rRNA from 1 species
AAGCGUGGGGCUCAACCCCAUCACGCCUUAGAUACUGGCAGGCUAGAGUACUGGGAGGGAAGUGGAAUUCCAUGUGUAGCGGUAAAAUGCGUAGAUAUAUGGAGGAACACCAGAGCGAAGGCGGCUUCCUAGACAGAGACUGACGCUCAGGCACGAAAGCGUGGGGAGCAAAUAGAUUAGAUACCCUAGUAGUCCACGCCGUAAACGAUGAAUGCUAGGUAUCGGGGCAACCCGUGCCGCAACUAACGCGAUAAGCAUUCCGCCUGUGGAGUAUGCACGCAAGUGUGAAACAUAAGGAAUUGACGGGGGCCCGCACAAGCGGUGGAGUAUGUGGUUUAAUUCGACGCAACGCGAGAACCUUACCAGGCCUUGACAUCCCUUGCGAAGUCUUAGAGAUAAGACAGAGGUUAUCAAGUGACAGGUGGUGCAUGGUUGUCGUCAGCUCGUGUCGUGAGAUGUUGGGUUAAGUCCCGCACGAGCGCAACCCUUGUCUUCAGUUACCAAUAUUAAGUUAGGGACUCUGGAGAGACUGCCGUGAUAAACCGGAGGAAGGUGGGGAUGACGUCAAAUCAUCAUGCCCCUUAUGGCCUGGGCACACACGUACUACAAUGGCUGUUACAACGAGCAGCGACAUGGCGACAUGAAGCGAAUCUCGAAAGACAGUCUCAGUUCGGAUUGGAGUCUGCAACUCGACUCCAUGAAGUUGGAAUCGCUGUAAUCGCGGAUCAGCAUGCCGCGGUGAAUACGUUCUCGGGCCUUGCACACACCGCCCGU